rnacentral:lncRNA from 1 species
AACACGUUUGAGGUGUAUGUACAUUUACAUAGAAUCCUCUCUCAUUUGCAAUUUACUCUUUUCAUUUUAUAACUAAAAGAUAAUUAGUUAUUACACAAUCGAACCUAAAAUCAAUAUAAGAAGGUCUUUUGAAAAGUCCGUGCAAAGUCCGAGAGAUGACAAUACUGCCACGUAUUGAGGUUAUAUUUAGUUAGUAGCAUCUCUUGGAAGAACACACAACAACUUUCAGCCAGUUCGGUUCAUUUCUUUCUCUUUGGCAUUCGUUUGAAUAGAAAAAUUCGCUGGAAAGAUUAUGGCGACACUCUUUUGGAGUCGCAAGGAAUAAUUCUCAUCGACUAUCUGGAAAAAGGUAAAACUAUUACAGUUGCAUAUUAUUCAUCGUUAUUGGACUGUUUGAAAACCGGGCUGAAAGAAAAACGCAGACGAUUGGUCCACAAAAAAGUCCUAUUCCAUCGUGGCAAUAGGACCAGACUUAGCAGUUGUUGUGGCGAAAUUAAUGGAAGUAGGGUUCCGACUCCGGGAUGCCAAUAGGACUAGUAAUCUCAAGCACCUUCACACUUUUGUCAUCCAUCACCUUAUUAUGGAUUUCAUCGAGGAUUUCUGAACUUGGAGCCUCAACAGGGCAUCCAGUACAUUCAGCGUCACUUGUCACCACCUAUAAAUUGUUCUAAUCAAAGGUGCAGAGUACCUAUAAUGUUUAUCAAGUUUCUCUUUCAUGUUCUGCAGCGUUUUGCCUUAAAUAAAGUAAUGCUACAUCAACAUACGAAAUUAUUCUACGUCCAUUUUUUGAAAAUCACUCCACUUCUUCGAUUCAAACGAAUGCCAAACAGAAAGAAAUAAACCUAUUUAGCUCAAAAUUGAUCUGCGUUCUUCUAAAAGAUGUACUAACUAAACAUUACCUCAAUACGUCCUAGUAGUGCCAUCCCUUGGACUUUGCACAGACUUUUCAAAGGACUCGUAAUGAAGCCAUUAAUUCAUACAUUUUCAAGCCUCUCAUGCUUUACCCUAUUUGUAUGCAUAUAUAUAUUGACUGUCUUACUUGCACAACAGUAGAAAAUAUGAAGAUAAAAGAAAUGAAUACAAAGUAGUCCAAAGCCGUCGCAUAAGCCACCUGCGGGAGAUCUGUUCGUGCCUCCAAUCCCAGGAAAGUCAUUGUUAAAACAGUUGUUACACCUAUAAUAGAUUUGUCAGUUGUCAAUCAUUUGUUAAAUUAUCUAACCUAGAUUAAUUCGAUCUGAAGUUGCUUCACGAUUGAGCCAAAAUGAAACCCAAGAAAUGACGACAAGAAGAAUGCAGGGACCAUACACUUGAAUCAUAAAAUUCCCCAUAUGUCUUUGUAGGUGAAAGUUGACUAAAAGUGUUGAAUGUGCACCUUGUGAGAUAUAUAAAAAUAUAGAAAAUAUUCAAUUUA